GCUUUAGUUUAUUUUUUUGAUGAUAUCAAAAAGAAGGAGAAUGAUAUCAUAAUGGAGAAAGUAGUAUAUUGUCUAUCUGUAAUUUUUUAAAUUUACAUGCUUCUUUUAAAUUUUUUGUUCUGAUACAAUAUUUUACACUGAUACGUCCAUUUUUUACUCUGAUACAUCUAUUUUUAUCCUCAUUUUGAUACUAUUUGAAAAAUUGCUCUAAUACAUCUAUUUUUCUUGAGUGCUCUGAUAUUUCUG
rnacentral:lncRNA from 1 species